rnacentral:rRNA from 1 species
CCUACGGGCGGCAGCAGUGGGGAAUAUUGGACAAUGGGGGGAACCCUGAUCCAGCCAUGCCGCGUGUGUGAAGAAGGCCCUCGGGUUGUAAAGCACUUUCAGUGAGGAAGAACGCCUGGUGGUUAAUACCCAUCAGGAAAGACAUCACUCACAGAAGAAGCACCGGCUAACUCCGUGCCAGCAGCCGCGGUAAUACGGAGGGUGCGAGCGUUAAGCGGAAUUACUGGGCGUAAAGCGCGCGUAGGUGGCUUGAUAAGCCGGUUGUGAAAGCCCCGGGCUCAACCUGGGAACGGCAUCCGGAACUGUCAAGCUAGAGUGCAGGAGAGGAAGGUAGAAUUCCCGGUGUAGCGGUGAAAUGCGUAGAGAUCGGGAGGAAUACCAGUGGCGAAGGCGGCCUUCUGGACUGACACUGACACUGAGGUGCGAAAGCGUGGGUAGCAAACAGGAUUAGAUACCCUAGUAGUC